UCGAGGAUCUUCGGCAAUGGGCGCAAGCCUGACCGAGCGACGCCGCGUGCGGGAUGAAGGCCUUCGGGUUGUAAACCGCUGUCAGUGGGGAGGAAGGCUCCGUGAAGAGCGGAGUUUGACCUAUCCGCAGAGGAAGCAAGGGCUAAGUUCGUGCCAGCAGCCGCGGUAAGACGAACCUUGCUAACGUUAUUCGGAAUUACUGGGCUUAAAGGGUGCGUAGGCGGUGCGGAAAGUUGGGUGUGAAAUACCUCGGCUUAACCGAGGAAUUGCGCCCAAUACUACCGUGCUUGAGUGAGACAGAGGUGAGCGGAACUUAGGGUGGAGCGGUUAAAUGCGUUGAUAUCCUAAGGAACACCGGUGGCGAAAGCGGCUCACUGGGUCUUGUCUGACGCUGAGGCACGAAAGCCAGGGUAGCGAACGG
rnacentral:rRNA from 1 species